GCUGCUUUAGCUCAAAGGUUAGAGCUCUCGGUUGUGGACCGGGCGAUCCGGGUUCGAGUCCCGGGAGCAGUUCCA
rnacentral:tRNA from 1 species